AUUAACGGCCUUUAACAGCACCUAGUGUGAUCGUGGGCCAAACCCACGUUAGAGAUCCUUGUGGUUUGGUUCAGGUACCCGUUUCUGAUUUUAAACUAUCGAACAGAGUUACCUACUGCCAGUAAUGCUUUUCCUUGAUCUCUGAAUCGAAUAACGGGUUCGCCGCCAUUUUUACAAUGUACCUACGCCUGAAACUGCAAAGCGUGGUGACCAGCAGUUUGUUUUGACCCGUAGGCUGUUCGUCUGAAUCCCAACGCGCUAACCAAUGGACCACACUCGGCUUAUGACUAAAAUAGAAGAUACUUACAUACAGGAACUGCUAUACAGAGAUGAAGGUUUGGAGAAUACUGGUAUGUUAGUAUACCACUGGUUUUUUUCAAGGGGAUAUAGCAAUAGCUGACAAAAAAA